UUUGAAAAUAAACAAUUAAUCAACAAACCGACGCUUUUCAGACAGACUGUUUUGCUGCAGUGAACGGUAGCCGUGGAGAGAGGAAAAGGCAAGAAAAACAAGAAGACAGCGGAGGGCGGAACGAGAACCAAGACAAACAGAUCCAUUGGGACCUUAGCGUGAGCGCCAGUAGGCAUAGACGGGUCCAACACUCCAGAACCGACGGAGCCGACGGGCAUCACGAGGAGCGCUUAAAACGGUGCGUAUUGUAACCUGCCCUCCUUUUGAGCACACAGACACGCAGGGGUAUUAUUGUCGCUGAUGUUCUGGGGCUUAUGUUGGUUGGGGUGGGGGGGUUGGAGGACACCUGUCAGGUUUGUAAAUAGGGGCACGCUCGUGCUCUGGAAUGCGCUUGCAUCCGCGCGCGCCUGUCCUCCUGACGGGCGCACCGGGCAGGAAACCGUCCAACGAGCUCGGAGGUGUUAAACUAAGAGCGAAGGGAAGGGGGUUGAUAUUAAAGUGUGCUUAGGCUUACUGUUAAUGCGCUCGAUGGUUGCUUUUCCCCCCUCGCGUUUCCCCUCCCCUCCCACCAUCCCUGCCGCUCCUUCUGCAAUCAGCGCGCUCGGACUGUGUGCACCUGCUACUGUUUUCCGUGGUUCGGUGGGGCGUCCUGGUUGCGCGGGUGAGAACGGGACUGGUGCUCAGCGGGAGGUGGGGAUAAAGAGGAGAAGUGCGAGAAAAGAAGCGAUGAGUGAGGGAGGCGGUGCGGGUGGCUGCGUUUUGGGUCGCAUGUCAUACAAUUGCAGCAGGUAUCAUCAUCUCAUCCCAACAGUCGAGAUGAGGCGAGGCUUCGCUGCUCGCGCUGAACAUCAACACACACACACACACACAGUUUGACAGCCACUGUCCGUCCUUGCCUCCCUCUCUAGUAGCAAAACAAUACAGAGCAUCUUUGCGCGCGAUCGCACGCCCGCCCCGCAGGCAACGCCAUGACUUGCACAGUUCACAAAAGCGCAAUAAGAGAGAGGAAUAGGCAGCCAAACGACCUGGACUACUGUGUGAGCGCUCGCGCGCGCGCGGUUGUGGCCACGGUCGCUUGAGGCCGCGCGCUGAAUUCUCAACGGGCGACAGGUGCACCUUCCUCUCGCGAGCGGGAGAAUAAAUGAGAGCGGUGUUAAAGGCUACCAGGAGGAUGUCGGGGACAGCUCUCUACAAAGCAAAAUUCUUGUCAAGCACGCGCUCGCUUUUACGUUGCGUUUGUCAAUUCGGAGUCGUUUUCUGGGUUACUGAGUGACGAAGGGAAUGUUUUCGAUCACUGCGUCACACAUCACACACUGCGAGUGACAAGAGACGAUCAAUGGACGCACUGGGGCAGCGCGUGAGUAAAGUGUGUGUGUGUGCUCAGCAUCAGUGCGACCAAUCGGCUCUCUCCGUCUGCUAAUGAGUGUGAAUGUGUGCCUUUGCUGCUGUAACCAAUCACAGGGCUCCAAACUAAAAAAUAGAGUAAGGAGCCAUUGGCUUCUAUAAGAAAAAACGUAGGCGCCAAAUUAUUUUUUUUAGGUGCCACAAAACGUGUUUUAUGUAUUUUAUUAUUAUUAUUAUUAUUAUUAUUUUUACUAUUUUAACUUUUUCUAUCAUACUGUCAUUGGCCACUGAGUGUAGUUUGGGCUCCUCCUCAAUGCAUUCUGUAAA
rnacentral:lncRNA from 1 species